ACACUGACGUCGCGACGCAUAUCAAUAAGCGGAGGAAAAGAAACUAACUAGGAUUCCCUCAGUAACGGCGAGUGAAGCGGGAAGAGCUCAAAUUUGAAAUCUUCAAGGUUCUACCUUGACGAAUUGUAGUUUAAAGAAGUGUUUUCUGUUGGAGUUUUGGUAAAAGUUCUUUGGAAUAGGACAUCAUAGAGGGUGAGAAUCCCGUAUUUGACCAUUAUUUCCAACUUUGUGAUACACUUUCAAAGAGUCGGAUUGUUUGGGAAUGCAGUCCAAAAUGGGUGGUAAAUUUCAUCUAAAGCUAAAUACUGGCGAGAGACCGAUAGCGAACAAGUACCGUGAGGGAAAGAUGAAAAGAACUUUGAAAAGAGAGUUAAACAGUACGUGAAAUUGUCAAAAGGGAAGCGUUUGACACCAGUGUUGUUUAGUUCGAAAAUCAAUUCAAUAAUUUGGGGAUUUUAGUAGUAUUGACUUCAUCAGCUUUCUGCACUUUCUUUUCAGUAUUAUUUAAUGCACUUUUCAGUUAACAAGUCAACAUCAAUUUCUUUUGUUGUAAAAGGGUAAUAGGAAGGUGGCUUACUCUUCGGCGUAAAGUGUUUAUAGCCUUUGACCUCUGCAAUCGGAGAGAUUGAGGUCUGCAGCGUAGAUCCUUCGGGGUUAGAUAGCACUUGUGCUAAGCUAUAGCCUUGUAUAGACAACUUGUUGACUAUGCUCAGUCAUGUAGCUUACUCGCUAUGUGCUAUUUUACCUACGCUUAGGAUGUUGACGCGCGGUGUGCGUG
rnacentral:rRNA from 1 species